AUCUUUCUAGUCAAAUAGCAAGUUUUAUAAGCUUUAGCGUGAAAGAAAAAAAUAGAUAAGAUGCUGAAUGGCUCAUUAUUGAUACCUCCGGAUUAAGAAUGCUCCUAGUUGUUUGGAAGGUGAAGUUCAGGCAAAGUAUCGCCUUAGGAAUCUUGCAGAUACUGAUUCAGAAGGUCUGGGUGGUGCCUGAGAUUCAGCCCAAUAUAGUAAGUGAUGCCCAUGCUGCUGGUCUAUGGACUGCAUUUGAAUGGCAAGAUAUCUGUUCUGGAGAGGACGUGGGAUUGACUCACAGUAGCUUUAAGAUUCCCAGCAACAUUUUUAACACUGAAAUUCUGAUGUAACUGAUUCUAAGAAUUCACAUUAAAAUCUACGUCACUUUAUUCCUCAGUGAAAAUCUACAACAGCCUCUUGACACACCUAAGGUGCUCCUGUUUUUUUUGAAAAUAUGCCACAGAGUGUUUGCUGAAGUAUCAGGAAUAAUUAAA
rnacentral:lncRNA from 1 species